rnacentral:rRNA from 1 species
AGUCACUGACAUUAGAUAACCCCGGUAGUCCCAGCCGUAAACAAUGUGCGUUAGGUGUGUCGGUAACUACGUGUUACUGAUGCGCCGAAGAGAAAUCGUGAAACGCACCACCUGGGAAGUACGGUCGCAAGGCUGAAACUUAAAGGAAUUGGCGGGGGAGCACCACAACAGGUGGAGCCUGCGGUUUAAUUGGAUUCAACGCCGGACAUCUCACCGGAUAAGACAGCUGAAUGAUUGUCAAUCUGAAGGUUUUACAUGACUAGCUG